rnacentral:hammerhead_ribozyme from 1 species
AUCCAGCCGACGAGUCCCAAAUAGGACGAAACACGAGUCAAACUGAAU